GAGACGACUCAGACGAGACCAGGUGG
rnacentral:piRNA from 1 species